rnacentral:rRNA from 1 species
UGCGUAGGCGGGCUAAUAAGUCAGUGGUGAAAUCUCUCGGCUCAACCGGGAAACUGCCAUUGAUACUGUUAGUCUUGAGUUCGGUUGAGGUAGGCGGAAUGUGUAAUGUAGCGGUGAAAUGCUUAGAUAUUACACAGAACACCAAUUGAGUAGGCAGCUUACUAGACCGACACUGACGCUGAGGCACGAAAGCGUGGGGAGCGAACAGGAUUAGAUACCCUGGUAGUCC